CUUUCAAACCUUGGUGCUUCUUCCUAUGCGGCCCCUCACACGUUGGAGGCGCUCCCUUUAAACGUCUUGAAAAAUCAACUCCUGUCGCUUUAAAGCCCUCCUUUGCUGUGAUGCCUACAAAUCCCUCAACUGCUGCUGUGCUGAGACCACUGCUGGCCAGGACUGUCUCUGUUUCCAGGCCUCAGGAGUGCCAUCACUUUUUACCAAAUGAAGAGGCAUGAAAGAUGUGCUCGCUGCAGUCCAAUAUGAAGAUAUAAAAUGAAUGAAGUACAGGGAGCAUAGGCCCAGUUUGGAAAUAGCCCAAGAAUUAACUCUUUGUGCUACCAUCUGAUUUCACAGUGUGUCACCUCUAGAACUUUACAUCAUUAAUCACUGACAUGCUACCAGGCCUCAGACAAGCCUAGGGGCUUUCCCAGGAUUCCCUGCUGGUUGGCAGGUGAAGGAGUCACAGCCAAGGACUUUUUGAAAUACAGCCCAGGUACAAGACAUAUUAAGCUGGAGUGGCCAUUCCCAGGAACAAUGGAACGCCCUAAUCUGUUGUUACCUGUAAACCCCACUCCAAUCACAUUGAAUAAUUAAAAAUCUGAUUAUUUUAUUAACUUGAAAUUUAAGUAGAAACAAAGAGACACCAUAAAUCACUGGGCAUUUGUAAAAGUCACUAUAUUUCACGUGCAACAAGAUUAAUGUUCCUCCCUCCCCCGCUUUACUUAUAAAAUGUAAAUGUUUUCUAGUGGCCCCAACUUCUGGAGAGCAGAGCUGAGGGUGUGUGCAAGGGUGGGGGAGAGGGAACUACAGGGGGUAGAAAACAGAAGUUAAA